rnacentral:lncRNA from 1 species
ACUAAACCUUCAGCAUCAGGUUUCCCUAGCAACAGAAAGCCUUUUUCUUUCUCCUACUGUCUGUAUCUGAGUUUUUUACAAAAAAAAAAAAAAAAAAAAAGUAAUAAUCUCUCAAAACACUAGAAAGCAUUCAGACUGAGACAUAUGAAGUUAGCAAUGAAAAUUGUGAGUUACAAAUAAAAUAGGGAAUAAUUAAAUUGUAGAGAAGUAUUUUGUUUAUGGAUUUACACAAAGCUCCAGAUGGUGAUUUGCUAUAUUCAUCUCCAGAUUAGCUAAAUAAAGGCCAGGCCUUAUGUCAGCCUGCACAUGGCUUUAAUGACUUUACCUUUAUACUGCAAAAGGUUAAGGCUUUUAGUGCUGUGUUUCAGAAGCCACAUAUAAAGGAAGCUUUAUUGGAUUAGGCUUCUGAGAAACAAAGUGAUACAUGCUAGCAGACAUUAACCGUAAUCAGAAGCCUCCUAGGGUUGCAAGCUUCCUUGGCUAAUGGUUGGGCUUUGUGUCUCACUCCUCUCUUACACCUGGGGAGUCAAGUCUGGAUCCUCUGCUCCAUAUUUAUUUAGCAAAUAAAAUACUGAUCUCAAAUCUCAAACAGAAAGGGAACCUGUGUACUUCAGGUGUGAACCACUGCGCUUUGCCAUUUUUGCCAGUCUAUGAUGAUUUCAGUACCUUCCAUCUGAAUAGAAGCUGCACAGAUGCCAGCUUUCAAGGAACCUAAAUAAGGUCUUGGAU